ensembl:lncRNA
UAGGUCUCGUUAGCACUCGGUUAUAGAGCAUCAGCACGAGGAUCAGGAGAGCAGCAGUCUGUGAUGAAGUGUUAGAGGCUUCCAGCUUUUGUAAACCUGAGAGCGAGCGUCUUAACUGCUCAAGAGUAUUAUACAGCAAAAAUAUUUCCUGGAUCCAGAUGUGUUUCUGCUUAAGAAAAAUGUCUCGUCUGGCUAAAACAGCGUAAAAGAGGAAACCUGACUGUGCUCGUGACAGAAACUCCACCAUGAGGCGGAAUAAAGACUCCAACUGUGUGGAAGAGUUGUCCCCCGAUCACAACGGUGUGAUUCAGA